GACCUUGGCACAGACUCUCAGCGCCUCC
rnacentral:piRNA from 1 species